CCAGAGGAGCAACAACAAUAAGAACAACAACAACAAAGGACUGAAGUAACCAGAUCCCAAAGAACUCAUGAGUCAACAUCAAGCAGACCAACACAUGUGUUGU